rnacentral:rRNA from 1 species
UUCCAGACUCCUACGGGAGGCAGCAGUGGGGAAUAUUGCACAAUGGGGGGAACCCUGAUGCAGCGACGCCGCGUGGGUGAAGGAGUAUUUCGGUAUGUAAAGCCCUAUCAGCAGGGAAGAACAAUGACGGUACCUGACUAAGAAGCACCGGCUAAAUACGUGCCAGCAGCCGCGGUAAUACGUAUGGUGCAAGCGUUAUCCGGAUUUACUGGGUGUAAAGGGAGCGUAGACGGCCAUGCAAGCCAGGGGUGAAAGCCCGGGGCCCAACCCCGGGACUGCCCUUGGAACUGUGCGGCUAGAGUGCGGGAGGGGCAGGCGGAAUUCCUAGUGUAGCGGUGAAAUGCGUAGAUAUUAGGAGGAACACCAGUGGCGAAGGCGGCCUGCUGGACGGUAACUGACGCUGAGGCUCGAAAGCGUGGGGAGCAAACAGGAUUAGAUACCCCUGUAA